rnacentral:rRNA from 1 species
UACGUAGGGACCGAGCGUUGUCCGGAUUCAUUGGGCGUAAAGAGCUCGUAGGCGGCUGUUCAAGUCGAACGUGAAAACUCGGAGCUCAACUCCGAGCCUGCGUUCGAUACUGGACGGCUAGAGUCUGGUAGGGGGAUCUGGAAUUCCUGGUGUAGCGGUGGAAUGCGCAGAUAUCAGGAGGAACACCGGUGGCGAAGGCGGCUCUCUGGGACGGUACUGACGCUGAGGCACGAAAGCGUGGGGAGCAAACAGG